rnacentral:lncRNA from 1 species
AGGAGAUAAGUUCCAGUCUUGGGCCUGCAUGGCCGAAUUGUGGGCUUUCGCGGCCCAGUCAGCCACAGCAUUAGCCUCACGCUUGCAGAAGCGCACGUUCAGGUUAGGGAAAAGAGGGAGAAAAGAUGUCGCCUCCGCAAAUAAGACGCGCGUCUCCCAUGGCGGCGGAUCCUCCCCUGUUACAGCUGCCACAACGAUGCUGCAGUCCGACUCCAGGUCUAUAUGAGCCUGAUGAAGCCCCUGAUGUAGCAGAUGUUGAAGAGCAAAGGUUAGAGCCUGAAACUCCGCUAUAAGAGGCGAAGCAGCUAGGAAACGAGCAGAGUAUAUAUCAGUUAGUCGGCCAUAGUGAUCUCUACAAAUCGAUGCCAUAGAUCCAUCUGUGUCUCCUGGUUUGAACGAAGCAUCAAUAUUGCAUUUUAAGGUGCCUGGAUCCGGUGGUUUCCAGAGCUGAUGUGGGUACGGUUGUGCUGUAGGUCGGGACAGAGAGGGAGAUCCAGAAACCCGAAAAAGCUGCGUCUGCGAUAAGGCAUUCUCCACUGCUAAAGAAUGGUCCGGACGUUGGCCACGGAAGAUAAAACCGUUUCGCAUUUUCCAGAUUUGCCAUAGAACAUUGGCAACAAGGUCCAGACCAGGUAAGCAAUUCGGCAAUACAGCUGCUUCUGUUAACCAAACUUCGAAUCGAGUAAUCGAUGUAGAACUUACCUGUAUAUUGAUUUGAUGAUGGUCCCAUAUGUCUUUAGUCCACGAACAAGAUAGAAAUAAGUGUUCUACUGUCUCUGGGAUGUUUUGUUUGCAAAUCUGGCAAAAUGGUUCGGCAAUGAUGUGUCUUCUGAACAGAUUGUCAGAAGUGGCGAGUGCAUUUUGACAAACUGACCAUAGAAAGACACGCAGUUUAGGAGCAGUUCGCAUAGCCCAUACUUUCUUCCACAAUAGCUUAGGAUGCUGAUAAGAAGUUGAUGCGAUACUAUUGCUAUGUAUUCUGUCCAUAGAAGACAGAGCAUGAUAAUUGCUUUUCACCGUAUGGCUACCAUCCUUUGUGGCUGUCCAGACAAUUUUAUCGGCAGCAAUGUUCGGUCUAACUGGAAUGGUUAGGGCCUCUGCGAUUAUACCGUCAUCUAGAAAAUUAUUCAUCACAGAAGUAUUCCAUCUAUUGUGGAUUGGAUCAAUGAGAUCAGCCACCAAUUUUGGUUCUUCUCUUGUCACAGGUCCACCAAGAAUGCCUCUUGGUAACCAUCUAUCCUCUCGAAUUCUGAUAUUCCUUCCAUUCCCCACUGACCAUCUAACGUUUGGCAAAAUUGCAUCCCUACCCACAAGAAUACUCUGCCAUCCCCAAGAAGGUCGAUGUCCUCUCGCCGCCACUUGGAAAUCUGUAGAAUGAUAGUAUAGCCCCUUAAAAAUCUGACUCCAUAAAGCUUGAGGUUGUUGCAUCAAUCUCCACGCUUGUUUGCCAAGCAUAGCUCGGUUAAAGUCGAUGAGAUCACGAAAACCAAGACCGCCAUUUUCCUUACUCCUUUUCAUAAUAUCCCAUUUCUUCCAGUGUAUCCCUGCUCUAUUCUGAUCAUUCUUCCACCAAAAACGAGCAAUGCUCUGUUCUAUUGUUUUACAAAGAGACAAAGGGAGUUUGAAAAUCGACAUCGCAUAGUGAGGGAUUGCUUGGAUAACAGAUUUGAUGAGAAUUUCCUUACCUCCCUUUGAAAUGAACUUUUCUUUCCAUCCUUCUAACUUUCCUUGUAUUCUCCCCAAAAGCCAAGAGAACAUUUCCUUUUUAGAUCGACCCCAGUCUGACGGGAUUCCCAAAUACUUGCCAUACCUUUGUAGCACCGGUACUCUGAACUCAGCCGACAGAUUUUCCUGUAAACUCAAAGGACAAUUCUUGCUAAAAAUAAGUCCCGAUUUGUUUCUGUUCAAUUCUUGUCCUGUAGCCAUGCAAUACUGAUUUAAAAUAUUUGCUAGAUUCUGGCAUUCGCGAAUAGUUGCAUCUAGGAAAAAUAUGGCAUCGUCCGCGAAAAAGAGGUGGGAUAAGGUUGGACACCACCUAUUUAAUUUAAUGCCCUUUAUGUGAUCCAUGUCGACUGCUUGAGUAAUCAGAGUAGAUAACACAUUCGCUAAUAGAAUGAAUAUGUAUGGAGAAAGAGGGUCACCUUGUCUUAGGCCGCGAGUUGGAUAGAUGGAAGGAAGUAACUCGCCAUUAAUUCGUACACUGUAGGAUGCUGUAGUUAUGCAUUGGAGUAUCAAGUGUACCCACCUUGGAUGGAAACCCAUUGUUAGGAGAUAGUCAUUAAGGAAGUCCCAUUCUACUCUAUCAUAAGCUUUCCUCAUAUCAGUCUUCAGGAUGACAUUAAAUUUUCUCAACCUCCUACGAAUUCUGAACUGGUGAAGAACUUCUUGAACGACCAGUAUAUUAUCUUGAAUCAGUCUACCAUUCACAAACGCCGACUGUUCCAUGGAAAUCAAAUUAGGUAACCAAGGUUUUAGGCGGUUAGCAAGUACCUUAGAUAUAACUUUAUAAGCAAAGUUGCAAAGACUAAUGGGUCUGUAUUGAUCUAGGCUUUCUGGGUGAGGUAUCUUAGGAAUCAAAGCAAUGAUAGUCCGGUUCAAAUCUGUGGGCAUCCUCCCUGUCUGAAAGAAAUUUUUUACAAGGUGAAAGAGAUCGUCCUUAAUUACCUCCCAAUGAGUCUGGUAAAAUAAGCCAUUGAACCCGUCAGGGCCAGGAGCUUUAGUUGUGCCCAACUGAAAGGUAGCUUGUUGAACCUCCUCUAACGAUAUCAAAUCCAGCAGCCUGUCAUUCAUUUCUGUGGUGACAACCUGCGGACAUUGAGCAAGUAUAGGACCAUAAUCUCUAUUUCCCACCGUCGUAUAUAAAUUAGAAAAGAAGGAUGUUGUCAUUUCUUUCAAAGUCUCUGAAUCACGGAUCCAUCGCUGGUGAUCAUCCUUCAACAUGAUAAUACGAUUUUUCUGCCUUCUCUGAAGAGUAGCAGCAUGGAAAAACUUAGUAUUCUUAUCACCCCACCUUAACCAUUGAAUUCGCGACCGCAUAGCCCAAUAUUGCUCUUCUUGGUGCCAAGUCCGUCUUAGCUCCUCUUUAAUCUGAAUUACUUCAUUGCUGUUGAAACUAUGAUACUGCUGGUUUAUGAGAUCCUGGAGACGUUGUUGUAAUGUUGUGACUUUAAGAUCAGCUCUAGUGAAUUUGGACCGACUCCAUUGUGUCAAAGCAAAAGAAACUUUUUUCAACUUAGGAGAUAUAUCAAAACCUUGUACUAUCACUGACUUCCAGGCUUCGGAAAUGAUUCGUCGACAAUCUGCAUCUUCAUUCCAAUAAGAUUCAAAGAUAAAGUUCUUCCCUCUUCUACGAUAUUUUGCUGAGGUAUUGAUAAUCAAUGGGCUAUGGUCAGAGCCCACUGCAGGUAAUGCAAAGACCUCUGCAUUAGGAAAUAGUAGUCGCCAAUCAAGUGUACACAUGGCCCUGUCUAGUCUUUCCUUCACCAGAUCAUCGCCCUCCCUGUUAUUCAUCCAAGUGAACCGACAACCUUUGCUCUCUAGCUCCAUUAGGGCACAAUCAUUCAGAACCUGCCUAAAAGAUUGCAUACGAAAACGAUGAGGUGGCCUAUUCCCAACCUUUUCCCAUGGAUAAAGUACUUCAUUGAAAUCACCGACACAGAUCCAUGGAAGUACAUUAGCCGAACUUAUCCCUCUCAAUUCAGCCCAUACAAGUUGUCUAAUUUGAAAAUCAAAAGGAGCAUGAAUACAAGUUAGACGUAUAGUGCGUUCUUCCUGCACUUCCCUAUAAGUCAUAUCAAUAUAAUCCUUGGUGGAAGGAAGUACUUCGAUGGAUACCUGAUCAUUCCAAAAGACUGCUAGACCUCCCGCCAGACCAGUAGGAUUGAUAACAUGAGCAUUAUGAAAGUGUAAAGCUCGCUGGAUACUAGUUAGCUUCUCUGCACCAUUCUUUGUUUCCAUUAAAAAAACUAUACUGGGCUUUUCCUUGGCCGUCAUGGCCUUUAGCGCCUGAAUUGUCAGGGGGUUGCCCAGACCCUGACAAUUCCAACAUAUGAGUUUCAUUUGUGAGGUGGUGGCUGUUGAGGGCCAGCCGCCAUCGCCCAUUGUCGAGCUUCUCCCAUGUGAAGCACAGGUGUUUCCAUCAAAGUAGCCUCAUCUAGGUCAGGCAAUAGAGAACCCUUUGAAUCAUAUGGCAUAUAGCGUUUCUGUUUUUUUGCACCCCCUACUUUAGGUGUCAGUCGUAAAGAGUUCAUCUUCCUAUGAUACUUAUUAUCCAUGGCAGGUGAUUGAGCCCCCUUCAUUUUAAUUGAUGCAGGGAUUAACGCAGUAUGAAUAGGAGGUCCAUCGAGAAUUUUCACCUGUUCAUGCGCCUGAUCAGAUCCUGUAACUUGCUGAGGUAUUGGAGAAGGUGAUGGAUCUGAUAUUGCUGCAGCAGCAGUAGGUGGUGGAAGUAACAGAGGCACAUGUUGAAUCUGUGAUGGA